rnacentral:rRNA from 1 species
UUUUGGACAAUGGGCGAAAGCCUGAUCCAGCAAUGCCGCGUGCAGGAAGAAGGCCUUCGGGUUGUAAACUGCUUUUGUACCGAACGAAACGGUCUGCCCUAAUACGGCGGGCUAAUGACGGUACCGUAAGAAUAAGCACCGGCUAACUACGUGCCAGCAGCCGCGGUAAUACGUAGGGUGCGAGCGUUAAUCGGAAUUACUGGGCGUAAAGCGUGCGCAGGCGGUUAUGUAAGACAGUUGUGAAAUCCCCGGGCUCAACCUGGGAACUGCAUCUGUGACUGCAUAGCUAGAGUACGGUAGAGGGGGAUGGAAUUCCGCGUGUAGCAGUGAAAUGCGUAGAUAUGCGGAGGAACACCGAUGGCGAAGGCAAUCCCCUGACCUGUACUGACGCUCAUGCACGAAA